UACGUAGGGUGCGAGCGUUGUCCGGAAUUACUGGGCGUAAAGAGCUCGUAGGUGGUUUGUCGCGUUGUUCGUGAAAACUCACAGCUUAACUGUGGGCGUGCGGGCGAUACGGGCAGACUGGAGUACUGCAGGGGAGACUGGAAUUCCUGGUGUAGCGGUGAAAUGCGCAGAUAUCAGGAGGAACACCGGUGGCGAAAGCGGCUUCCUGGUCCAGCACCGACGUUCAGGCACGAAAGCGUGGGGAGCAAACAGG
rnacentral:rRNA from 1 species